GCCGAAAUAGCUCAGUUGGGAGAGCGUUAGACUGAAGAUCUAAAGGACCCUGGUUCAAUCUUGGGUUUCGGCA